GGUUCCUAAAUUUAUCUAAUUUUUUCUUUAAUUUUUUCUUAAGUGUCUACUGAUUUUUUCUUCUCUCAAGACUUAUUUUCGGAUCCUUUAUUUAUAGAUAAAUUUUUCACCUUUUUCUGAUCACAAAAGGAGUCCUAAAAUCUUUAGAAAAUGUAUUAUACCCGUAUAAAUUAAUUCUAGCCGUUAGAUUGCAUUUGGACCAUCCAGAUCAGCCUAAAAAUCGUAGAUCAAUUCCUUAUCACGAUCGAAAAUCACCACAGCCGUCCGAUCAUGCCCUUGAUGAAAUUAUGACAGUUGAUCAGCGUUCAGCUCUCUUAUUCUCAGUCGAAAAUGAUGCUGACUUUCCGAUCGCGCCUCGGAUGAAAUCUGGGCCGUCGGUCAGUGCCCUGGAUUUCCUCUUCAAAGUCGAAAACAACGUCAACCGUUGGAUUGCGCUCCAGAUUGAAUUUCGAUCGUCGGACCGUGCAAAAAUUUUUUCUUUUCAACCGGCAACGAACAGCAGCCGUUGGAUCAAGUUCAGAAUCGAUAUCAGCCAUCGGAUCAUGAAAAUUUUCCUCCGUCCAUCGUAGACUGCACCAAAGACCGCAAACCAUUUUUGAUGGAUCGCGCCUUUGAAUC
rnacentral:lncRNA from 1 species